CAUUGUAAGCUAGUAAGCUUUGGAGGUGUAUUAGCACUCUCCUCAUUUAGGGAUGCCCUAAAGUAGAUAGGUGGAGAGUCUGAUUCGUAACCGAGGAGUAAGGCCCAAGCCAUUAAUAGAGCUAUACUAAACUCCAGUGAAUCGCUGGUUCCCGCAUUCUUCUUUGCGAUUCAACUCUCAAUUCUCUCAGAUCUUUGAGUAUAAUGGAAGUGCCGUAGUUGCGAUGGUGAGGAAGGAUUGUUUUGCCAUUACUAGCGAUAGUAGGCUUGGAGUUCAUCUUCGACAAUUGCCACAGAUUUCCAGAAAAUUUAUCGACUCAUGAUUAGCUAUUUCUUGGCCUUUCAGGCCUCGGUAUCGAUGCUCAAACACUGUAUCAACGGCUUGUCUAUCAGCCGAAACUAUACCAGCUUCGAGAAGAGAGGGACAUGAAACCUGAGACAUUUGCUAGCCUUGUCUCAGCACGUCUUUAUGAGAAAAGGUUGGACAUCGAUUAAACUUCUAGUUAUCUCUUUUUUCAGCAGUUUUAAUCACGCAUACUCUCUAUUUUUCGCCUAGACUGAAGAACAUGGUUGGGAAUGAGAUUUCUUUAGGAUUUGUAGGAGCUUCAUUUGUGUGUAUAUGUUGAUUCUUCUACCAAUGUGAUCCUCUUACGUCGGUGUAA